rnacentral:rRNA from 1 species
CACCCCCGCCUUAACAGCUAGCCCAACCAAAAACCCUAACAAUCAACAUCAAUUAGCCCCACAGACAAAACCGAUAAAAACUAAAUCAUUUUUCCACCCAAGUAUGGGAGACAAAAAAGGACUUUAGGCGCCAUAGAACAAGUACCGCAAGGGAAAGCUGAAAGAGAAAAUGAAAGAAUACACCAAAGGCACAAAUAGCAGAGACUACCCCUCGUACCUUUUGCAUCAUGAGCUAGUUAGCACCUCACAAGCAAAGAGCCCUUAAUGUUUGAAACCCCGAAACUAAGCGAGCUACUCCAAGACAGCCUAUUUAGGGCAAACCCGUCUCUGUGGCAAAAGAGUGGGAAGAGCUUCGAGUAGAGGUGAAAGACCUACCGAGCCUAGUGAUAGCUGGUUUUCUGGGAAAUGAAUAGGAGUUCUCCCUUUUACCUUCUUUCUCCCCACAAGCUCGCCUGCUCCCCACGGAUAAAAGAAAGUAAAAGAGCUAGUCAACAGAGGGACAGCUCUCUUGACAAAAAGAAACAACUUUAACUAGGAGGAUAAGGACUAAAACCGACUUAAAGAGCCGCACCUUAGUGGGCCUAAAAGCAGCCAUCUACGAGGAAAGCGUUAAAGCUCAAGAGCAGACCCCCUUGUAAUUUCAGCAAGACUAUCCUACACCCCUUAAAACUACCAGAACCUCCCAUGCACACAUGGAAAAGACAAUGCUAGCAUGAGUAAUAAGAAAGCCAAGCCUUUCUCCCGGUCAUCUGUGUAACUCAGAACAAACCCCCACUGACAAUUAACGCCCCCACCCCUAGAGGUGACUGAGCCAACCAACAAGAAACCAGAAAACUCCUCAACGCCUAAGCGUUAGCCCAACACAGGUGUGACUAAGGAAAGACAAAAAGGAAAAGAAGGAACUCGGCAAACAAAUUUGUCCCGCCUGUUUACCAAAAACAUCGCCUCUUGCCCCUCACCCUAUAAGAGGUCCCGCCUGCCCUGUGACUAAAGUUUAACGGCCGCGGUAUUUUGACCGUGCGAAGGUAGCGUAAUCACUUGUCUUUUAAAUGAAGACCUGUAUGAAUGGCAUAACGAGGACUAAGCUGUCUCCUUUUCCAAGUCAAUGAAAUUGAUUUGCCCGUGCAGAAGCGGGCAUACCCCCAUAAGACGAGAAGACCCUAUGGAGCUUUAGACACUUGGACGGACCAUGUUAAAAACAUUAAGACAACAACCGUAAACAAAAUGGCCCCGCCCAUAGUCUUUGGUUGGGGCGACCGCGGAGUAAUAAGAACCCUCCACGUGGAAUAAGGCUCACCCCCUUAAAGCAAGACCCACAGCUCUAGCAGACAGAAGAUCUGACCAAAAAGAUCCGGCAAAGCCGAUCAACGGACCGAGUUACCCUAGGGAUAACAGCGCAAUUCUCUUUUAGAGCCCAUAUCGACAAGAGAGUUUACGACCUCGAUGUUGGAUCAGGACAUCCUAAUGGUGCAGCCGCUAUUAAGGGUUCGUUUGUUCAACGAUUAAAGUCCUACGUGAUCUGAGUUCAGACCGGAGUAAUCCAGGUCAGUUUCUAUCUAUGGAUAGAACCCUUUUCUAGUACGAAAGGACCGAAAAGGGGGGGCCCAUGCUUAAAGCACGCCCUGCCUCAACUCCCUGCCCCCCACUAAAGAGGGCAAAGAGGCACAAAACUAAACCUGCCCAAGAAAAGGGCUA